UACGAAGGGGGGCUAGCGUUGCUCGGAUUGACUGGGCGUAAGGGGCGCGUAGGCGGUUCGUACAGUCAGACGUGAAAUUCCUGGGCUCAACCUGGGGGCUGCGUUUGAUACGUGCGGACUUGAGUGCGGAAGAGGGUCGUGGAAUUCCCAGUGUAGAGGUGAAAUUCGUAGAUAUUGGGAAGAACACCGGUGGCGAAGGCGGCGACCUGGUCCGAUACUGACGCUGAGGCGCGAAAGCGUGGGGAGCAAACAGG
rnacentral:rRNA from 1 species